rnacentral:tRNA from 2 species
CGCGGGGUGGAGCAGUCUGGUAGCUCGUUGGGCUCAUAACCCAAAGGUCGGAGGUUCGAAUCCUUCCCCCGCUACAA